GACGAACGCUGGCGGCGUGCUUAACACAUGCAAGUCGAACGGAAAGGCCCUGCUUUUGUGGGGUGCUCGAGUGGCGAACGGGUGAGUAACACGUGAGUAACCUGCCCUUGACUUUGGGAUAACUUCAGGAAACUGGGGCUAAUACCGGAUAGGAGCUCCUGCUGCAUGGUGGGGGUUGGAAAGUUUCGGCGGUUGGGGAUGGACUCGCGGCUUAUCAGCUUGUUGGUGGGGUAGUGGCUUACCAAGGCUUUGACGGGUAGCCGGCCUGAGAGGGUGACCGGCCACAUUGGGACUGGGAUACGGCCCAGACUCCUACGGGAGGCAGCAGUGGGGAAUAAUGCACAAUGGGCGGAAGCCUGAUGCAGCAACCCCGCGUGCGGGAUGACGGCCUUCGGGUUGUAAACCGCUUUCGCCUGUGACGAAGCGUGAGUGGCGGUAAUGGGUAAAGAAGCACCGGCUAACUACGUG
rnacentral:rRNA from 1 species